GGUCUAGGUUGUUUACUAAGUUUCCUGUGAAAACCCGGAGCUCAACUCCGUGGAUUGCAGGGAAAACUAUUAAACUAGAGUGUGCGAGAUGCGUGCGGAAUACUGGGUGUAGCGGUGGAAUGCGUAGAUAUCCAGUAGAACACCAGCGGCGAAAGCGGCCCGCAUGCGCACUACUGACACUGAAGCCCGAAAGCGUGGGGAGCGAACA
rnacentral:rRNA from 1 species